rnacentral:rRNA from 1 species
AUUGAACGCUGGCGGCAGGCCUAACACAUGCAAGUCGGGCGGUAGCACAAGGGAGCUUGCUCCCUGGGUGACGAGCGGCGGACGGGUGAGUAAUGCCUGGAAACUGCCUGAUGGAGGGGGAUAACUACUGGAAACGGUAGCUAAUUCCGCAUAACGUCGCAAGACCAAAGAGGGGGACCUUCGGGCCUCUUGCCAUCGGAAGUGCCCAGAUGGGAUUAGCUAGUAGGUGGGGUAAAGGCUCACCUAGCCGACGAUCCCUAGCUGGUCUGAGAGGAUGACCAGCCACACUGGAACUGAGACACGGUCCAGACUCCUACGGGAGGCAGCAGUGGGGAAUAUUGCACAAUGGGCGCAAGCCUGAUGCAGCCAUGCCGCGUGUGUGAAGAAGGCCUUCGGGUUGUAAAGCACUUUCAGUAGGGAGGAAGCGUUGUGUGUUAAUAGUACACAGCGUUGACGUUACCUACAGAAGAAGCACCGGCUAACUCUGUGCCAGCCGCCGCAGUAAGAC